ACUGCGCACGCGCCGGUCGGCUGGCCGCACCCACGCGGCGCAGCUCCCAAAGUUGCAGACAGCCCGGCGAACCGCGCAAUGCGCUUCUUCUGCCUGCAGCAGAGAAAAGGAAAGAAAACUCCGCAGGGGCUCCGUUGGCUUCUCCACGAGUGACAACCAUGUUUUCCCAGAUAGAAGACCGGAGCCCUGCUCCUUUGCGAUCCGCCGAGGGCUGCAGAGAGCAUCCUCAUCCAUUUGGGCACCCCUGCCCAGGAAGAGCCCGGCCAUCCCUUUCCGGACUGGAUCCUUAAGAGGUGAAUUUUCUUCCGUGGAUUCCGAUUUGCUCCGUCUGACCAGCCUAGGCAAUCCAGCAUCGCGUGGUACCAGUGCCGCUGGGCACACUGGCUUCACGCCGGCUCCGCCUCACCAGCAAGCGCAUUCCCAGGUGGUCAGGCUCAGGAUGGACCAUGAGCUUUCAAAAAGGAAAAAGGUGGAAAUCCUCAACUAUGCUGCCAUCUGAAUAAGUGUUUCUUUGUAGAUGCACAGAGUCAAGGAAAAUUACAUCCCUGCAUUAUGUAAUGUACCAACAACGCACUUACCCACUGUUUUAAUCUAGGUUAUUCUUGAAAGCAGAGCCUGAGACAAAGGUAGACACAUUCUAUUUAUGAGUCUAACACCCAGGAGCAGGAAUGAGAGAUAGGGGAGUGAACUGGGGAAAAGGGAAACUAAGUCCGAGCAAAACCAGAUACUGCUCUUAUCAAGUGGUCCACCCCUAUUAAUGGCUACAUAAUGCAGAACUUUCUCAGGAUUCUUCUUAAACUUUAUCUCAGAACUGUCUGCCUCAGGGAGAAAGGAGAAGUAUUUCUCCAUCAGCAGCCACCUCCUGUGUGUUGAGGGCUGCUCCUUUGGGGCAUUAACCCACUGCCUCCACCACCCCAACCCUCUGGGCUGCAAAGAGCUAGCUGACAGUCCAGCUGGUACCUUAGCAUCACACAUUGCUGCAUCAGAGAGGUCUUAAGACAGGAAGCUAGAGUCUUGGUGCAUGCUCGAAGUGAGACGGUGUCAGCACAGAGCAGGGUAAAAUCUUCCCGUUAACUCUUCACCAGAGCUAUGACUGGAAUCAGAGGUUGAAAAGAUGUGAGACUGUACCCAAGAAGCAUCUUAUAAGCCUACGUAAUAUACUGUUAGACUCAUCGAAAUCUAUUUCCUCCCUUCUUUAUAAUCAAAACUUCAGUGUCCAGAAUAAAGUUGGCAGAAGGGUUAAAUUGGAAAGUUAAAUGUACUAGAAGGUGUACAUUUAUAAGUUUUGACCUUGAGUCGUGUUCAAGGAGAAAGUGACAUUGGAACUUGGAAAAUUUAAAAAUGAUUCUACUUGAAAAAUUUGACCAUUGCAUAGAAAUAUUAGCUAUCGUCUAAUCUUUUGUAAUCUUAGAAACAAUCGUGAAUUGUUUGGUGAAAAAUGAAAAAAUAACCAUUUCUUAUGUCUCCGUGACCUUUAUAGACCAAUGUCACCAACUUUUCCUAAGGUAAUUGUUUCCUACUGUCAAAUAGCUCUAGUGAUAUAAAUCUUAACAAUCAAUGAAGGGAAAACUGGUGGAAACAUAGGAGGAAAAAUACUGGGAUAAUUUUCAUCACAAAGUAUUGGCAUUAACAUUGGUUAGAAUAGGGGAGAAACUGCAUGACUUGACAACUGGACAUUCCUGUAUGUUGUAUGAGGCCCUGUCUUAACAGAAAUAGUGAUGUCAUCAUCAUCCUCUCUUAUUUGGUCUUGAAUUGCCACCAAUCGGAUAAAACCUUUGAAUUAUUUAACUCAAUAUAUGUUAAGUUUCUACUAUGUGCUGUGUAUUGGUACUAUAAAUAUGAAUAAGACAUAAGAUAUUACAUUCAAAAACAUCAGAAUACAUGUUCUUUUAAAGUAUACCCCAAAACAUUUACCAUGUGUUCUGGGGCGCAUGUUAGGCUGGAUCACAAAUCAAGUCUCAAGAAUUUCAAAAGAUUGAAAUCAUAUAGAGUAUGAAUUAAACCAGAAAUCAAGUACAUAAAGGUAACAAAAAAUUUCCAAAAUGCAUUAAUUUAAGGAACAUACACCUCAUGACCCAUGAGCCAAAAAAUAAAAAGCUCUAAGUACAUAUGUUAGAAAUUUUACCGAAAGGUUGGCUAUCAGUGUUUCCAGAAGCCAGGGAAAAAGUUUAUACAAUUUGAUCGCUGAGGCAGGGAAACAAAGUGAGACCUCCGAUCGCCCUGCCUUUCUGAGGUGAGCACUCUGGAUCCCAUCGCAGGAGAUCAGAGUCUUGCUGAGUUGAGGAGAGGAAGAUUGGAGUUGAUACUGAGAUAGCUUGAAUUUUCAGGACAAAGUAUCAACAAGGAGGAAGGUAGACAAAAAAAUCCAGAAAUCUAUGUAGAGACCCCAUUGUGUACAUUGCGGAACACUAAGCCUAACAAUUCUCAAAAUUAGCGUGAGAUUGGGAAAUAUCUAAUUUCCAUCCAGCCACAGUGGAGAGUCCUGACUGAAAACCAGGCAUUCGCUAAAGAUCCCAGAAAGGUUGUGUGUUACAUACGUAGGGCUAAACUAUCCUGACUAAAAACUACACUACACUUGCUCCUCACCCCCACAAAAAGCUUAAAAACAAGCCUCAAUAGUAUAAAGCUGAUCUGUAAGUAACUAAACUACCUGCAGAACAAAGUCCAAAUUUAUUAGUUCCAGUACUCCAAAAAAAACACAUGUAAAAAAAAAAUAGAUUUACAAGACAUUUAUUUGGGGAAAAAAAGAAUGCCUGAGGGUUGAAAUGGAGAGGAAGCCAGAGAGACAGAGUCCUCAGAAUACAUAAAAUUUCUGGCCUCCAUGGAGGUGUGAUGGUUAAUUUUAUGCAUGUCAACUUCGCUGGGCCACAGGAUGCCCCAUAUAUGAUCGAACAUUAUUUCUGGUUGUGUUCAUGAAGCUUUUUCUGGAGGAAAUUCGCAUUUGAAUUGAUGGACUGAAUAAAGCAGAUUGCAGUCCCCAGUGUGGAUGGGCUUGAUCCAGUCUUCUAAGGACCCAAAUAAAAUAGGUGGAGGAAGCUUGAAUUUUCUGCCUGACUGUGGCGCUGGGACACCCAUCUUCUCCUGCCCUUGAACUGGGACUGACACCAUCAGUGCUCCUGGUUCUCAGACCUUCGGACAGCAGACUUGGGGCCUUCUCGGCCUCCAUUAUUGUCUGCUUUUAGAUAUUUAACGGGAGAGGAAAAGAGAAAAUAUGAUUAAAGCCUUUGAAAGUCCAUUUCCAAGAAAUAAAAACUGCAGUAGGAAUUCUACAAAACUGAAAAAUCUUCAGGACUGGAAGAUCUAUCCAGAAAAGCCCAGUGGAUUAUAAUAACUUAUUAAAAUAUUUGUUUGGCAAGCCACUGACUAAUACCACUUUAAGAUAUGAAUGCAUUACCAAAAAAAAUUGGAAGGAGAAAAUGAGACACUGAGUGGGACUCAGGGAUUGCUCCAGGCCACACAGUCAGCAGGAGGCAAAGCCCAGAUUCAAAUGCAGAUUACUCAGCUCCACAAUCCACAUCCUCACAGGAGGCUGCACUCCUUGCCCAAGCGUCAGACAGGAGCAAAGAGAAAGAAGGCAACCAGCUGGCUACUUUCUUCCCUUCUUGGAUGCCUCCAACAGG
rnacentral:lncRNA from 1 species